AUGAAGAAGGCUCCCCCGAUCGCUUCCUUUGAUGGCCGUUUGAUCGUGGUCAGACUAGUCUUCGACUUUGUUUCGACCGUUAGAUGCUUGCUGUUUUCGCUGUUGGUUUUGACCGUGUGCCAUUUCGAGGUGCGAGUGCGCCCUCUCCCCGCAAGCCGCGUGCACGUCGCGCCAUUUGCGGGGGCGUGGGUCCCUUUCCUACGAUACCGUGGUCUUUGCCCCUGCUCCAUCCGACCUCCAUGGCGGACGAGGGCCCGAUCCGCGCCGACGCCGUGCCGGCGGCGGCCGGGGCGGGCGCGGAGAGGGCCGAUGCGGCGGCUGCGGGCGGGGUGGCGGCGGCCAAGGCCAGGGAGGACGAGGUUGGCCACGGGCGGGGCGGCGGCGGCCAAGGCUAGGAAGGACGAGGUCAGGGAGUACAAGAGUGACGUGAGGAAGCUGGAGGAGCUGUUCAAGAAGCUGAACCCCUCCGUGGAGGAGUUCGUGCCGCUCUUCCUUCGCCAGGAGGACAGCGCAUGCCGCCUGUCGGCCGACGCGCUCGUCUUUGCCUCGCCCGCGAUCGACUACUAUGCUCCUCCGUCCACCGACUCUGUCCGUGCAGGUCGCCAGUUUCCUUUCGCGCCAACCUUCUCCACUGUCUCCCCAGUUCAUCCUCCGUCCCUUGCUGCUCGAGAUUCUCAUCUGCUCAGGCUGCGAGGAAGACACGUGAGGAGGAGAGACCUCGUCUCGAGAAGCCCGGAGGAGGGGCUGAAACAGAGAGGAGCAGAUGCCAGCCAGCUUGGUUUUCAGUUUGACUAUGUAUUUGACUGGACAAUAUUGAAGUACCAGCAAUCUCAAAUUGCUGGUGCUCUGCCUCGUGUUGCAGCAAUAUUGAUGAGUAAUUGGCUUAUAAUAAAGUUGCCAGAAAGUUUCUUUGCUUCUAUGGCUAACUUGAACCAGAUGGUCACCGGUUGGUCCUCCUCUUCUCUCCUCGCGCCAUCGUCCUCCUCCUCAUCCAUCUCUCGAUUCAGCCAAGACAAUGGGGAUCAAGACUAUCUAACAGCUGACCUUCUUGCUUGCAGUGGUACAGGUGUGAUCUUCAUGGAGCUAGCAAUCAUUGGAUUUGGAGUUUCCUACCUUUCUUCUGCAAAUCUGGAAUGCCUUUAUGGCAUGAUCUCGUGA
rnacentral:rRNA from 1 species